rnacentral:rRNA from 1 species
UACAGAGGGGGCAAGCGUUAUUCGGAAUUAUUGGGCGUAAAGGGCGCGUAGGCGGCUUGGCAAGUGGAUGGUGAAAUCCCUCGGCUUAACCGAGGAACUGCCGUCCAAACUGCUUGCUUGAGGCCGGGAGAGGCGAGUGGAAUUCCCAGUGUAGCGGUGAAAUGACGUAGAUAUUGGGUGAGGAACACCAGUGGCGAAGGCGGCUCGCUGGACCGGUUCUGACGCUGAUGCGCGAAAGCGUGGGUAGCAAACAGG